CGUCCUGUAGUGUUGUGGUUAGCGCGCUCGCCUCGUUAGCGAGAGGACCCGGGUUCGAUUCCCGGUCGGGACGA